ACACUAGACUACACCGUACUGUUUUCAUGGUUAAACUGUUGGUGAGGAAUAGGUAGUAGUGUAUUGAUCAUUUUCCUUUGCAUGUUUCUCUUUGGUUUCCUCCAGGUGUCACCACUUCAUCCACGACAUCGUCCUCAAAGACUGAGACGUUGUGAUCGCAUUGUCCAUGAUCGCAGAGACCUUGUCAAAGAUGAGAGAGACGUUGUCCAUGAUCGGAGACAUUGUCCAUGACUCGUGGUGACUCGGUCCCCGAUAAGUCGGCAUCCCCGGCGUUCAUUGAGGCAUUGUCGAUGAUCACAGAGACACCGUCUAGGAUCUCAGAGACAUCGUCCACGAUCACUAAGACAUUGCCCACGAUCGCAGAGAGUCUUUGAACAAUGAGGAAGUUCUUUGAGACCAGGACAGAGGCCUCCAGGUGUCACCACUUCGUCCACGACAUCGUCCACGACAUCGUCCACGACAUCGUCCACCAUCGCAGAGACAUGGUCCACGAUCAGAGAGACAUUGUUGAGGAUGAGGGAGACAUCGUCCACGAUCAGAGACAUUGUCCACGAUCGCAGAGACCUUGUCAAAGACGAGAGAGGCGUUGUCCAUGAUCAGAGACAUUGUCCCAUGCUUCGCAGAGCUCUGCGCAAGAAUCGGUAGAGACACUGUGGUUCCUCGAUUCGACGGCAUGACCGCGAUCAGGAGACAUUGUUAAUGAUCAGAGAGACACCGUCUAUGAUCUCAGAGACAUCGUCCACGAUCACAAAGACAUCGUCAAUGAUCACAGAGACUUUGUCCAUAAUCUCAGAGACAUUGUCCGUGAUCACAGAGACGUAGUCCGCGAUCACAGAGAGACAUCGUCCAAAACUUGGUGUCACCACUUCAUCCACAACAUCGUCCUCAAAGACUGAGACGUUGUGAUCGCAUUGUCCAUGAUCGCAGAGACCUUGUCAAAGAUGAGAGAGACGUUGUCCAUGAUCGGAGACAUUGUCCAUGACUCGUGGUGACUCGGUCCCCGAUAAGUCGGCAUCCCCGGCGUUCAUUGAGGCAUUGUCGAUGAUCACAGAGACACCGUCUAGGAUCUCAGAGACAUCGUCCACGAUCACUAAGACAUUGCCCACGAUCGCAGAGAGUCUUUGAACAAUGAGGAAGUUCUUUGAGACCAGGACAGAGGCCUCCAGGUGUCACCACUUCGUCCACGACAUCGUCCACGACAUCGUCCACCAUCGCAGAGACAUGGUCCACGAUCAGAGAGACAUUGUUGAGGAUGAGGGAGACAUCGUCCACGAUCAGAGACAUUGUCCACGAUCGCAGAGACCUUGUCAAAGACGAGAGAGGCGUUGUCCAUGAUCAGAGACAUUGUCCCAUGCUUCGCAGAGCUCUGCGCAAGAAUCGGUAGAGACACUGUGGUUCCUCGAUUCGACGGCAUGACCGCGAUCAGGAGACAUUGUUAAUGAUCAGAGAGACACCGUCUAUGAUCUCAGAGACAUCGUCCACGAUCACAAAGACAUCGUCAAUGAUCACAGAGACUUUGUCCAUAAUCUCAGAGACAUUGUCCGUGAUCACAGAGACGUAGUCCGCGAUCACAGAGAGACAUCGUCCAAAA